rnacentral:lncRNA from 1 species
AUCGUCUUCCCGUUUCUCUUCCUUCCAGUCCAGACAUUUUGUUCUCACUAUAUAUUUCUCUCAUUAUUUUGGAUUUUUCUACUUUUAAUUUAUUUGCAAAAAUCCCAAAUUCUACUCAAUUCAUUUGCUCUUACUUCUGGUUGUGAGUGUUCUUGUUGGGUAAAGUAUGGGUUUUAUGAUUCCCAUAUAUUAUAGAGCCCAAUUGUUUAUCGAGUUAUGUGAAAAUUGUUGAAUUUUCAUAAAUCUCAUAUGGUUCUUUUAAUAUGACGACUGCGAGAAACCGGUUCUUCUUAUAGGGUUGAUUUAUCUUUUCUUAUUAGAGUCAUUUUGUUGAGAAAUUGGUUA